GGGCUAGAGGAAAACACAGCAAUAGAAAAUUUAGGGAAUUACANNNNNNNNNNAUGAAAUCAAUCCAAAUAUAUGUAUAUGGCUGAUAGGUUAUUUCUCUGCCAGUGAAAGUAGCCAUUUCAAACCAGAUUAGAGUAUAUUAGAGGCAGAUUUAUUGGGAGUCUGCGCUCGCCUCCAGAGGGACGCAGCCAUGCUGACAGUGUCACCUCACACCCCAUGGAACUCAUUUUGGACUUUUUCCCUCCAGCACUGUAAAGGAGAAUCACAUAACUUCAGCUUCACGAACCAUUGUGAUCAGGACUGGAACUGACGCCAACAAAGGUCUGCUUUGGGGGACCACACUCCAGCUGGGACCUCUUCCCACACAACCUGUCUAAGAUUUGGAAGACUCUAGAUAACAAGGCUAGACAAACCUUGGUGAGCUCAGCAGCUCCUCCUGCUGUGACUGGGGGGGGGGGGGAAGGUCCAGUGAU
rnacentral:lncRNA from 1 species